rnacentral:rRNA from 1 species
AGUGGCGGACGGGUGCGUAACACGUUGGUGACCUGCCCCGAUGUGGGGGAUAACCGUGGGAAACCACGGCUAAUACCCCGGAUGCCAAAGUAUUUAGAAAGCUUUGGCUAAAGCUCCGGCGCCUCGGGAGGGGCCUGCGGGCUAUCAGCUUGUUGGUGGGGUAAUGGCCUACCAAGGCAAAGACGGCUAGGGGGCGUGAGAGCGCGACCUCCCACAAUGGAACUGAGACACGGUCCAUACUCCUACGGGAGGCAGCAGUGAGGAAUAUUGCGCAAUGGGGGCAACCCUGACGCAGCAACGCCGCGUGGAUGAUGAAGGCCUUCGGGUUGUAAAAUCCUUUUCCGGGGGAAGAAUCAUGACGGUACCUCGGGAAUAAGUCCCGGCUAACUACGUGCCAGCAGCCGCGGUAAAACGUAGGGGGCGAGCGUUAUCCGGAUUUACUGGGCGUAAAGCGCACGUAGGCGGCGCUGUAAGUUGGGCGUGAAAGCUCCCGGCUCAACUGGGAGAGGUCGUUCAAAACUGCAGUGCUUGAGGUUGGAAGAGGAGAGUGGAAUUCCCGGUGUAGUGGUGGAAUGCAUAGAUACUACACAGAACACCAAUUGCGAAGGCAGCUCGCUAAGCUGUUACUGACGCUCAGGCACGAAAGCGUGGGGAGCGAACAGGAUUAGAUACCCUGGUAGUCCACGCCGUAAACUAUGAUCACUAGCUGUUGGCGAUAAAUUGUCAGUGGCUCAGCGAAAGCGUUAAGUGAUCCACCUGGGGAGUACGAUCGCAAGGUUGAAACUCAAAGGAAUUGACGGGGGCCCGCACAAGCGGUGGAACAUGUGGUUUAAUUCGAUGAUACGCGAGGAACCUUACCUGGGCUUAAAUGUAGCGCGACGUCUCGAGAAAUCGGGAUUCCCUUCGGGGCGAACUACAAGGUGCUGCAUGGUUGUCGUCAGCUCGUGCCGUGAGGUAUCGGGUUAAGUCCCAUAACGAGCGCAACCCUUAUUGUUAGUUGCCAGCGGAUAAUGCCGGGGACUCUAACAAAACUGCCCGUGUAAACGGGAGGAAGGUGGGGAUGACGUCAAAUCAGCACGGCCCUUAUGUCCAGGGCUACACACGUGUUACAAUGGCUGGAACAAAGGGCAGCUACCACGCAAGUGGAUGCUAAUCUCUAAAUCCAGUCCCAGUUCGGAUCGAAGUCUGCAAUUCGACUUCGUGAAGAUGGAAUCGCUAGUAAUCGCGCAUCAGCAAUGGCGCGGUGAAUAUGUUCCCGGGCCUUGUACACACUGCCCGUCAAGCCAUGGAAGUUAGUAGUACCUGAAGUCCGUAACCGAAAGGAGCGG